CUAACGCGUGAAGGCGAGCACUCUAGACGAACUGCCGUUGACAAAACGGAGGAAGGUGGGGAUGACGUCAAAUCAUCAUGCCCCUUAUGUUCUGGGCUACACACGUGCUACAAUGGCCGGUACAGACGGACGCAAAGCCGCGAGGUGGAGCAAAUCCUAAAAGGCCGGUCUCAGUUCGGAUUGCAGGCUGCAAUUCGCCUGCAUGAAGUCGGAAUCGCUAGUAAUCGCAGGUCAGCAUACUGCGGUGAAUACGUUCCCGGGCCUU
rnacentral:rRNA from 1 species